rnacentral:rRNA from 1 species
GAUGAACGCUGGCGGCGUGCUUAACACAUGCAAGUCGAACGGAAAGGCCCAAGCUUGCUUGGGUACUCGAGUGGCGAACGGGUGAGUAACACGUGGGUGAUCUGCCCUGCACUUCGGGAUAAGCCUGGGAAACUGGGUCUAAUACCGGAUAGGACCACAUUUUGGAUGGUGUGGUGGAAAGUUUUUCGGUGUGGGUUGAGCUCGCGGCCUAUCAGCUUGUUGGUGGGGUAAUGGCCUACCAAGGCGUCGACGGGUAGCCGGCCUGAGAGGGUGUACGGCCACAGUGGGACUGAGAUACGGCCCAGACUCCUACGGGAGGCAGCAGUGGGGAAUAUUGCACAAUGGGCGCAAGCCUGAUGCAGCGACGCCGCGUGGGGGAUGACGGCCUUCGGGUUGUAAACUCCUUUCGCUAGGGACGAAGCGUUAUGUGACGGUACCUGGAGAAGAAGCACCGGCUAACUACGUG